AGCACCGUGGCGCAGCGGUUAGCGUGCUGGGCCCAUAACCCAGCGGUCCCUGGAUCGAAACCAGGCGGUGCUA